rnacentral:rRNA from 1 species
GACGAACGCUGGCGGCGUGCUUAACACAUGCAAGUCGAACGGAAAGGCCCUGCUUUUGUGCGGUGCUCGAGUGGCGAACGGGUGAGUAACACGUGAGUAACCUGCCCUUGACUUUGGGAUAACUUCAGGAAACUGGGGCUACUACCGGAUAGGAGCUCCUGCUGCAUGGUGGGGGUUGGAAAGUUUCGGCGGUUGUGGAUGGACGCGCGGCUUAUCAGCUUGUUGGUGGGGUAGUGGCUUACCAAGGCAUUGACGGGUAGCCGGCCGUCGAGGGUGACCGGCGUCAAGAGGACUGAGAGAGGCACCAGUCUGCUACGGGAGGCAGUAGUCGGGAAUAUGGCACAAUGGGCGGACGUCUGAUACAGCAACGCCGCGUGCGGGAUGACGGCCUUCGGGUUGUAAACCGCUUUCGCCUGUGACGAAGCGGGAGUGACGGUAAUGGGUAAAGAAGCACCGGCUAACUACGUG